rnacentral:miRNA from 1 species
CAUCAUCCAAUCAUAUUGGAGA